GGUGGGGUAACGGCUCACCUAGGCGACGAUCCCUAGCUGGUCUGAGAGGAUGACCAGCCACACUGGAACUGAGACACGGUCCAGACUCCUACGGGAGGCAGCAGUGGGGAAUAUUGCACAAUGGGCGCAAGCCUGAUGCAGCCAUGCCGCGUGUAUGAAGAAGGCCUUCGGGUUGUAAAGUACUUUCAGCGGGGAGGAAGGGAGUAAAGUUAAUACCUUUGCUCAUUGACGUUACCCGCAGAAGAAGCACCGGCUAACUCCGUGCCAGCAGCCGCGGUAAUACGGAGGGUGCAAGCGUUAAUCGGAAUUACUGGGCGUAAAGCGCACGCAGGCGGUUUGUUAAGUCAGAUGUGAAAUCCCCGGGCUCAACCUGGGAACUGCAUCUGAUACUGGCAAGCUUGAGUCUCGUAGAGGGGGGUAGAAUUCCAGGUGUAGCGGUGAAAUGCGUAGAGAUCUGGAGGAAUACCCGGUGGCGAAGGCGGCCCCCUGACGAAGACUACGUCAG
rnacentral:rRNA from 1 species